UACAGAGGGGGCAAGCGUUGUUCGGAAUUACUGGGCGAAAGGGCGCGUAGGCGGCCUGUUAAGUCGAACGUGAAAUCCCCGGGCUCAACCCGGGAACUGCGUCCGAUACUGGCAGGCUUGAAUCCGGGAGAGGGAUGCGGAAUUCCAGGUGUAGCGGUGAAAUGCGUAGAUAUCUGGAGGAACACCGGUGGCGAAGGCGGCAUCCUGGACCAAUUCUGACA
rnacentral:rRNA from 1 species